rnacentral:rRNA from 1 species
GCCUACGGGAGGCAGCAGCCGCGGUAAUACGGAGGAUGCGAGCGUUAUCCGGAUUUAUUGGGUUUAAAGGGUGCGUAGGCGGUUUGUCAAGUCAGCGGUAAAAAUUCCGGGCUCAACCCGGUCCCGCCGUUGAAACUGGCGAACUCGAGAGGGAGAGAAGUAGGCGGAAUGCGCAGUGUAGCGGUGAAAUGCAUAGAUAUUGCGCAGAACUCCGAUUGCGAAGGCAGCCUACCGGCUCCUGUCUGACGCUGAGGCACGAAAGCGUGGGUAUCGAACAGGAUUAGAAACCCGAGUAGUCCAUUAGA